UCGGCUGCCGGCGCCCCACCCCUGCACGGAGCACAGGGCUGCGAGUCUGCCCAAAUCUACCGGGUGCAAGCAAUUUAUGCGGCUGUGACUUAGAGCUGUCGGGAGGGAAAACCAGCCACUGUGGCCAAGUGUGAUUUCAGCAACUUUCGGAGGGGGAUGGCGGUCCGCUUUGUUUGGGCACAGGGACCACAGUCGAGUUGUUACCCAUCCGCAGGGAAGCGGCGGCGGGUGGUGGGAGUGCGGAGUCGCCCAGCGAGAGGCCUGAGACAGGAUAUUAGUGGAAAUAAUGCAGUGGUUGUCAGGAAACGCGAGUGCAGCCACAUGGCUACUGCCAGUUCUGCAGCGAGGAUAUCCGGUGGCUGCAAAGUCUGUAAUUUAGGAUAAAAAGAGCUCUCCCAGGACUGGAGAGGCUGACCUCAGCGCCGCGUGGCGGCGGUGUCCCCGGCGCCCUCCGUGGAGACGAUCCAGGUUGUGACAGGUGGGGAAGCCUCUUCCUAGGGGAUUUCUAGCUUCAAAGAUCUUACCAAUUCUCCCCUUCGGAGUCCUGUUGCAAAAUUCAGCCAGCCUCUUCUGUAAUAUGGUGGGGGUCGAGGACGUGGUUCCCCGCCAGCCUGUUUAUUUUCUUAGUAAGGAUCCCCAUCCUUUCUUCUCUUCCUGUCACUUCUCUAGAGUUUAUUUAUUUUAUUUUUAGAGAGAGGAGAAGGGAGGAAGAAAGAGAGAGAGAGAAACAUCAAUGUGUGGUUGUCUCUCACAUGCCCCCUGCUGGAGACCUGGCCGGAAAUCCAGGCAUAUUCCCAGACUAGGAAUCGAACUGCCACCCUUUGGUUCACAGGCCAGCACUCAAUCCACUGAGCCACACCAGCCAGGGCUGUUCUUUUUUUCUUAAUGAGCACAGAUGAAA